rnacentral:rRNA from 1 species
AUGGGGAAAAUGUCGCGCCACCAGCUGCAUCCGUCUGUCAACCGCCCGACCGCGCCGGCGACGGCCAGCAGUGGUACGAGCAUGCUCACGGACACGCUGCUCAUCCUGGCGGCGGUGCUCUGCUUCAUGCUCUGCGUGGUCGGGCUGGCCAUGGUGACCCGGUGCUCCCGCCUGUGCAACACCUCCGCCUUCUCUGUCGACGCGCCAGGGGCAGUCGUUGCGUCGUGCAAGGGGAUUAAGAAGAGGCGCUCCAGUCGCUGCCCACGGACGAGCGCAUCCGGCGGAGUUCGCAGGCGGCCGGGCGGACGACCGCAUCCGCCGUUGACUGCAAAAGUCGCUGCCCCGUUUGGAUAG